UGAUGACAAACUAAAGUGUGUAAAUUUCCAUCUUAUAGGUUGAAAAGAUAGCAGGAGCUAAAGGAGAAAAGUCUUUGAUCCUCUCUAGAACACUUGUAAAGAUGCUAUCUCCUGGCUAAUCUUUAUGCAGCCCUUUCUUAGUGUUCACCAUUGAAGGAGGCAUGGAAGAGGCUGAAAGUGUUUGGUUUUGGAAACAAGAUGAUCUCAAGAAAUCGACAAAUAAACUUACAGCAAACCAAUUGCCAAGUAAGAUGUGAUUGUCCUGGUACCCUGAAGGAAGCCUCCACAGAGUCCGAAGGGGUCAUGGAAGAAAGACUAGGAAUUUCUUCAAGUGUGAAAAGAGUUCCUUCUCUCAUCUAUGGGAUCAGCUUGUAGAACUGCUUAUAAUCAGCAAACAGGUACCUCUGUAAGCACAACUCAGCAUCCCAGCAGUACAACCAUAGUCUUCUGUGUUAACGUCUCAAAGGUGAAGAAGACCAAGAAAAACCAACGCCACUGUAUCAGGAAAAGGCCACAGCAAGCUGACAGUUUUAAUAGACAUCUGCAAAACCUUGCAGCUACACAGGCUCCAGAAUUCAGAAACGUUGGGAUUCACAAUACUGUACUAUAAAACGCCACAGAGUCCAGGGAGAAC